rnacentral:misc_RNA from 1 species
GAUGAAGAACGUAGUGAAAUGCGAUAAGUAAUGUGAAUUGCAGAAUUCAGUGAAUCAUCGAAUCUUUGAACGCACAUUGCGCCCGCUAGUAUUCUGGCGGGCAUGCCUGUUCGAGCGUCAUUUCAACCAUCAAGCCCUGUUUAGGCUUGCGUUGGGGCCCUGCGGCUGCCGCAGCCCCCUAAAUGCAGUGGCGGGCUCGUUGUCACUCCGAGCGCAGUAGCGUAUCUCGCUCUGGGCGUGGCGGCGGGUGCUAGCCGUGAAACACCCACUAAGGUUGACCUCGGAUCAGGUAGGAAUACCCGCUGAACUUAAGCAUAUCAAUAAGCGGAGGA